rnacentral:rRNA from 1 species
CCUACGGGCGGCAGCAGUGGGGAAUAUUGCACAAUGGGGGAAACCCUGAUGCAGCGAAGCCGCGUGAGUGAAGAAGUAUUUCGGUAUGUAAAGCUCUAUCAGCAGGGAAGUAAAUGACGGUACCUGAUUAAGAAGCCCCGGCUAACUACGAGCCAGCAGCCGUGGUAAUAUGUAGGGGGCAAGCGUUAUCCGGAUUUACUGGGUGUAAAGGGAGAGUAGACGGCAGGGCAAGUCUGAAGUGAAAUGCCGGGGCUUAACCCCGGAACUGCUUUGGAAACUGUGCAGCUAGAGUGCAGGAGAGGCAAGUGGAAUUCGUGGUGUAGCGGUGAAAUGCGUAGAUAUUAGGAGGAACACCAGUGGCGAAGGCAGCUUACUGGACUGUAACUGACGUUGAGGCUCGAAAGCGUGGGGAGCAAACAGGAUUAGAUACCCUAGUAGUC